GGUUAAGCGACUAAGCGUACACGGUGGAUGCCCAGGCAGUCAGAGGCGAUGAAGGACGUGCUAAUCUGCGAUAAGCGUCGGUAAGGUGAUAUGAACCGUUAUAACCGGCGAUUUCCGAAUGGGGAAACCCAGUGUGUUUCGACACACUAUCAUUAACUGAAUCCAUAGGUUAAUGAGGCGAACCGGGGGAACUGAAACAUCUAAGUACCCCGAGGAAAAGAAAUCAACCGAGAUUCCCCCAGUAGCGGCGAGCGAACGGGGAGCAGCCCAGAGCCUGAAUCAGUAUGUGUGUUAGUGGAAGCGUCUGGAAAGGCGCGCGAUACAGGGUGACAGCCCCGUACACAAAAAUGCACAUAUUGUGAGCUCGAUGAGUAGGGCGGGACACGUGGUAUCCUGUCUGAAUAUGGGGGGACCAUCCUCCAAGGCUAAAUACUCCUGACUGACCGAUAGUGAACCAGUACCGUGAGGGAAAGGCGAAAAGAACCCCGGCGAGGGGAGUGAAAAAGAACCUGAAACCGUGUACGUACAAGCAGUGGGAGCACGCUUAGGCGUGUGACUGCGUACCUUUUGUAUAAUGGGUCAGCGACUUAUAUUCUGUAGCAAGGUUAACCGAAUAGGGGAGCCGAAGGGAAACCGAGUCUUAACUGGGCGUUAAGUUGCAGGGUAUAGACCCGAAACCCGGUGAUCUAGCCAUGGGCAGGUUGAAGGUUGGGUAACACUAACUGGAGGACCGAACCGACUAAUGUUGAAAAAUUAGCGGAUGACUUGUGGCUGGGGGUGAAAGGCCAAUCAAACCGGGAGAUAGCUGGUUCUCCCCGAAAGCUAUUUAGGUAGCGCCUCGUGAAUUCAUCUCCGGGGGUAGAGCACUGUUUCGGCAAGGGGGUCAUCCCGACUUACCAACCCGAUGCAAACUGCGAAUACCGGAGAAUGUUAUCACGGGAGACACACGGCGGGUGCUAACGUCCGUCGUGAAGAGGGAAACAACCCAGACCGCCAGCUAAGGUCCCAAAGUCAUGGUUAAGUGGGAAACGAUGUGGGAAGGCCCAGACAGCCAGGAUGUUGGCUUAGAAGCAGCCAUCAUUUAAAGAAAGCGUAAUAGCUCACUGGUCGAGUCGGCCUGCGCGGAAGAUGUAACGGGGCUAAACCAUGCACCGAAGCUGCGGCAGCGACACUAUGUGUUGUUGGGUAGGGGAGCGUUCUGUAAGCCUGUGAAGGUGUGCUGUGAGGCAUGCUGGAGGUAUCAGAAGUGCGAAUGCUGACAUAAGUAACGAUAAAGCGGGUGAAAAGCCCGCUCGCCGGAAGACCAAGGGUUCCUGUCCAACGUUAAUCGGGGCAGGGUGAGUCGACCCCUAAGGCGAGGCCGAAAGGCGUAGUCGAUGGGAAACAGGUUAAUAUUCCUGUACUUGGUGUUACUGCGAAGGGGGGACGGAGAAGGCUAUGUUGGCCGGGCGACGGUUGUCCCGGUUUAAGCGUGUAGGCUGGUUUUCCAGGCAAAUCCGGAAAAUCAAGGCUGAGGCGUGAUGACGAGGCACUACGGUGCUGAAGCAACAAAUGCCCUGCUUCCAGGAAAAGCCUCUAAGCAUCAGGUAACAUCAAAUCGUACCCCAAACCGACACAGGUGGUCAGGUAGAGAAUACCAAGGCGCUUGAGAGAACUCGGGUGAAGGAACUAGGCAAAAUGGUGCCGUAACUUCGGGAGAAGGCACGCUGAUAUGUAGGUGAAGUCCCUCGCGGAUGGAGCUGAAAUCAGUCGAAGAUACCAGCUGGCUGCAACUGUUUAUUAAAAACACAGCACUGUGCAAACACGAAAGUGGACGUAUACGGUGUGACGCCUGCCCGGUGCCGGAAGGUUAAUUGAUGGGGUUAGCCGCAAGGCGAAGCUCUUGAUCGAAGCCCCGGUAAACGGCGGCCGUAACUAUAACGGUCCUAAGGUAGCGAAAUUCCUUGUCGGGUAAGUUCCGACCUGCACGAAUGGCGUAAUGAUGGCCAGGCUGUCUCCACCCGAGACUCAGUGAAAUUGAACUCGCUGUGAAGAUGCAGUGUACCCGCGGCAAGACGGAAAGACCCCGUGAACCUUUACUAUAGCUUGACACUGAACAUUGAGCCUUGAUGUGUAGGAUAGGUGGGAGGCUUUGAAGUGUGGACGCCAGUCUGCAUGGAGCCGACCUUGAAAUACCACCCUUUAAUGUUUGAUGUUCUAACGUUGACCCGUAAUCCGGGUUGCGGACAGUGUCUGGUGGGUAGUUUGACUGGGGCGGUCUCCUCCUAAAGAGUAACGGAGGAGCACGAAGGUUGGCUAAUCCUGGUCGGACAUCAGGAGGUUAGUGCAAUGGCAUAAGCCAGCUUGACUGCGAGCGUGACGGCGCGAGCAGGUGCGAAAGCAGGUCAUAGUGAUCCGGUGGUUCUGAAUGGAAGGGCCAUCGCUCAACGGAUAAAAGGUACUCCGGGGAUAACAGGCUGAUACCGCCCAAGAGUUCAUAUCGACGGCGGUGUUUGGCACCUCGAUGUCGGCUCAUCACAUCCUGGGGCUGAAGUAGGUCCCAAGGGUAUGGCUGUUCGCCAUUUAAAGUGGUACGCGAGCUGGGUUUAGAACGUCGUGAGACAGUUCGGUCCCUAUCUGCCGUGGGCGCUGGAGAACUGAGGGGGGCUGCUCCUAGUACGAGAGGACCGGAGUGGACGCAUCACUGGUGUUCGGGUUGUCAUGCCAAUGGCACUGCCCGGUAGCUAAAUGCGGAAGAGAUAAGUGCUGAAAGCAUCUAAGCACGAAACUUGCCCCGAGAUGAGUUCUCCCUGAC
rnacentral:rRNA from 1 species